CAGUGGUUUAAGGAUCUGGUGUUGCCACUGAGGCAGAAUAAUGAAUGAUGAUUUAGGUUGUUAGUGUAGGAACAUGGGCUUCGAAGUAUUCUUUGAUAUAGUUGUUGAUUAAUAUUUUGAUGUAUUCUUUGAUAUAGUUGUUGAUUAAUGCCUAUGAUUUGGGAGUUCCAGAAAAUAACCUUCUCACAGGCCUUGUUUUCUAUAGAAAAUGCAUCUGCUUUACAUCUAGGUGGACAUGAAUCUCUAACUCACUCAUUGACUGAUGGGGAAGGAAUGAGAGGAACAGCGACUCCCAGUCUAGGGGAAGGAAGACAAGGACUGUGCUGAGUCUGCAGUGGAUCCAGAGGAACCUGGGCUGCCCUGCCCUGAACAAGGAAACCAGCGGUCAGUGUCCCAGGACCCUUCAAGCUGGGUUCAUUCGGAACAGACAGAAAUCAAUUUUUUUCUUACCAAGAAAAAUAAAAUGACAUGCUCCACCAAGAAAAAAAAAAAUGUCAGGUUCCAUGUUAAUGUUGUGAAUAAUGACACAUGGCCAAAGGGGAAGAAAGACCAGACAAUAGACACGAAGCAACAAAAGCAGGGACGCUGCUGAGCCUCUCGUCAUUGCUGUCUGCUCCCUGGAUAUUCACUCUUAAAAAUCUAAGGAUUUAGCUGAAAAUGGCUUAUACAGCAUCUUGAAAGGACUAGGGUUUUUUGCACAUCUCAACUCCAUCUAACCACAGUGGUGCAAUUCUACCUGGACGCGCCCCCAGGCACCAGGUUCUGGAGGCUGCUGGGUGGCAGAAGGUCCUCCUUCCCCUCGUACCCUGGAGACAACUGCAAACCCAGGAUGAGGACAAGCAAGGACCCACGGUGUUGCAGGGACCACUGCGUGCAGACAUGAGGCAGGGGUCCACCGGCAGCCCCACCACCCUGAGGCCACCGCCCUCCUCCCUGAGAGACUUGGGCCCCAAGUGUGGGCCACCUUGAUAGGGAUGGAGUGGGAUAGUUACUCGGGUAGUUGCAGAGGCCCCAAUAAGGGAUCAUAGAAAGGGAAACCUAGAGCACUUUGGGAGAGCACUAAGUUAAUAAUUGCUCGAGAGGCCCAUCGGAGCAAAGCAGGCUUGCUCGACCAGCCCAGCGGAGGCUCCAAAUAUGCCUCAGGUCAUUGGGUGGGGGAUGGGGGUGAGGCCUGCUUUCAGAUGCAGCCCAAGGGCAGGACAUUGAGGACCUCCCUUCUGCUGAUUUGAACUCAAAGAACGAGGAAGAGGUGGUUGUUUCCUACCCCCAGCCCCCUUGGAGGAUAAAACUUGCAGCCCGCCUCAU